AAUUCCGGCUAGGGAUUCAUCCAGCCCAGCCUUUCGCAUGAUGAAUUCUGCAUAUAAGUUAACAGCUCUCAGCCAGCUGCUGACCUCCCCGUCCCUAACGGAGAAGAAACUCGCCCACCUACUUUUCCGACGGCAUCUUUCACCCCUCAGGGUGCAUCUAUAUAGACACCGCACUUUCCUUUUCAAGAAAGCAUGCUGAUUUACUAGGACAACACCGCCCCCCUCCCCAUCUCUUAACCAUAGAGCUAGCAAUACCUCCCUCUUCCUAGCGAUCACCAGGAAAUACAGCAGCGGAGAGGAGGUGGAAUAGGGGAUUAAAUCUAUCUGGGACCUUCCUGUUCCCAGCAGCCCCCUGAGCUGAGCUGAGAGUUGAGCUGGAGUGCAAUCGCUGCCGUGGCUCAGCCUCCUUUCUCUUGCCUAAGGUGGGGGUGGUGUCUGGAAAAAUAAAUCAGAACGGGUUACCUUGCUUCCUUCAUCUUCCCAGGGCAACAGUAACAUUCUGGCUUGGAGGGGGAAAAGCUCUUUGAGAUGGACUGUGAAGACCCAGGUCAUCUGGAGAUCCACAGCUCAGAUGAUGGCGGGAUUGUACGGAGAGUCUACGUAGCUGACAAAGGUGAAGAUGAUCUGGAGCACGAGACCAUCCAAUCCAGCAUUCAGCAUGGACAGUCCAACUGGAAGGCAAAUUCCCAGCAGGAAGGACCAGCAGUGGACCGGCAGGGGAGCCCGCUAGCCCCUGACAGCUAUGGCGAGGGCGAGGGGGCGGUUGCCGCUGCAGUGGUCUCGCGCUCCACCAAGCAGCGGCCCUUCAUCUGCAACGAGUGCGGCAAGAGCUUCAGCCACUGGUCGAAGCUGCUGCGGCACCAGCGCACGCACACUGGCGAGCGGCCCAGCACCUGCACCGACUGCGGCAAGAGCUUCUCGCAGAACUCGCACCUGGUGCAGCACCGGCGCACGCACACCGGCGAAAAGCCCUACGUCUGCCGGGACUGCGGCAAGAGCUUCAGCUGGAGCUCCAACCUCAUCCAGCACCAGCGCAUACACACGGGAGAGCGCCCUUACACAUGCGGGGACUGCGGGCGGAGCUUCACCCAAAGCAAGAACCUGGCCAAGCACCGGAGGACGCACACGGGUGCCCGGCCCUUCCGCUGCCCCGAGUGCGGGCGGGGCUUUGCGCACACGGCCGGCUUGGUCAAACACCAGCGCCUGCGCCACGACACGGACUCCCCCAUCGGACACCCUUGCCCGGAAUGCGGGCAGCGCUUCCGGGCACCUUCCGAGGUGGAGCGCCACCGCGUGGCUCACCAUGGCGUCGCCCCCUCGGAGCCCUUCAUUUGCGUGGAGUGCGGAGAGUGUUUCACCAAGAGAACCACGCUCAUCCGCCACAAGAGAGUGCACAAGCCCAUCUUUGUGCGUUGAGGUUUUUCGUUCCCCCCGGCGGGAGAGGAAUUCCAAACGUCGACGCCCAGGCUUGCGGCCUGAAGACUACAGGUUGGGGUCCGAGGUGACUCUGGACUGCAACCUGGGUGUCGCUUGACCAGGUCAAAGGCCCUGAUGGGGCCAACGUGCAAAAUCCACUGGGUGGUGACGAGGAGGAGGAGGGAAGAAGAGAAGACAGGGCUCAGAGUUUGGACUUCAGGCCCGUGUCGGGAGAGAGACUGGUUGCAGCCCAGAUCUCGAACUGCCUGUGGGGCAGAAUGAAAGCGGAGCACAAACUCACCUGCUGAGAAUCUACAGGCCCUGGACCCUCCUCCUGUACAUACAAUAAGUUUGCGAUCGAACAAGGGCAGUUCGAGAGACAAAGGUAGGCAAUGUGGCGGAAUGGGAAGAUGGACCAAAUUCUGAACAGGAGAUGAACGGCACUGAUAAAAAGGCCACUCACUGGGAGAUUGUGGUGGCUGAUGGGCUGUACAGAAGAAGAAGAAGAAGAAGAAAAGGAGACACUAUGGACUAGAAGACGUUUAAGCCCAACAAGAGAACAUAGCAAGUCUUUUUUGCAGUGCAGGGUACAAACUGGGCAUCUGGGGCAGAACAUAAAAAGGUAAAGGUACCCCUGCCCGUACGGGCCAGUCUUGACAGACUCUAGGGUUGUGCGCCCAUCUCAC